UACAGAGGGGGCAAGCGUUAUUCGGAAUUAUUGGGCGUAAAGGGCGCGUAGGCGGCUUUGCAAGUGGCGGGUGAAAUCCCUCGGCUUAACCGAGGAACUGCCUGCCAGACUGUGAGGCUUGAGACCGGGAGAGGUGAGUGGAAUUCCCAGUGUAGCGGUGAAAUGCGUAGAUAUUGGGAGGAACACCAGUGGCGAAGGCGGCUCACUGGACCGGAACUGACGCUGAGGCACGAAAGCGUGGGGAGCAAACAGG
rnacentral:rRNA from 1 species